rnacentral:lncRNA from 1 species
CAGAGUGAGGCAUCCUCCCCUGGGCCAGCCAGGUCACCCAACUGACCAGCAAAACUAUGGGGCGGUGGCCGACUUUGUGGUGCUGGCUGAGCUGCUGAGCUGCUGAGCAACCCUGGGCUGACAGAGGAAACCUGGAGAAGGCCCCAAUAGGCUGUUCCCACUCCUGCCCACCUGGGCAGCAGAGCAUGCCCACCAGAGCCUAGGCGUUUCAAGACCUAUCAGCCAGCAGCAAUGAUGGAGAGCCCAAAGGCGGGGUGAUGUCACACAUGGCUCGAGUGUGCUGCCUGAUCACUCCUCUCCUGAAGCCUGUGUCACAGAUGGCCAGGGUGCACUGCCUGAGAGGAGAUGCUUCCUUCUCUGCACGUACCUCUGGUUUGCUCAGGGACCCUCAGGCUGGACCCUCACAUGGGAGCUGGGCUUUCCAGGGAACCUCCGCCCAUCUGCACGUGCAGGCACUGUGCCCGGCUCUCUGCUCUCUGUGGUUGUUCAAUGCAGAACUAAACCCUGCCCCAGCAGAAAAAGCACAUGACUUCAUAUUGAGAUUAAAAAAAAUUUUCUGUAAAUGUAAAGUUUAA